UGCCUCACCUCGGGGUGCCCGUGCGACGCAAGUCGUCCGGCUGAGAUGCGAAAGCGAACCCGUUGAACCUGAACCGGCUAGCACCGGCGGAGGGAAGGUCAGGACCAUCACA
rnacentral:ncRNA from 2 species